UCCCGAUCCCCCGCCCCGCGUCCGCAGCUCCCUCGGGAUCGCCGCUGGUACCGGGUCCGGCACCGCCCCACGCACCCACGGCUGGCGAGCGGUCGCUCUCACCCAAGGGGGAGGGGUCUGCCCUGGUCUCGCUCCCUCUCUGUCCGUCUUACUGUCCGUCCGUUCCGGGGACAGUGCACCACUCUACCUCCGCAGAGGGAAGAAGGCUUAUAAUUAUGCCAUCUUGGCAAAUGGCGCGCAAGUCGUGACGGAUGUCGGAGUCACAACUGUGGGGACGUACCCGCCGGGUACAGAUGCCAACAAUUUUCGGUAAAGCUUUGGGAGAAUAUGGCCAGAUAAAGGUCCAGCCAAGGAAUUACAAGGGCCAUCGGUAUAUCUGCAGCAGUGAAAGUUUCGAGGGGGUCCGAGUCGAGAUGCUCCGGCCCCAAACAUUCGGACACCGAUGUGGCGGAGAGGGGCAGCUGCCUCUCAUUGGCUCCCGAUAACCGAGAGUGCCGGGCACCGCUGGCGCUUUAGCAAAGACGCUCAGCAUUCUUCCCGGGUCCACUAUCCUCCUGGGGGGCUUCCCUCCAGCAGAGCUCACCCUGCCCGAGAAGACUCUUCCCCAUGCCCUCUGUCCCCUCCAGCCCCGCCGCCGGCCUCCGUUUGCAGAGGCCUCUUAAAUUUACCAUCAGCAUCAGUAGGAACAGUACUGUUAAUUACGACAGCCAGGGCUGGCGCGGGGGGCGAUGCGUGGCGCGGGGAGGGCCAUGCCCACCCCAGCCACCAGCGCACUCGAGCCCCGGCCGCCUAACUAUCGGCGUGGGACGCGAGCAGUCCCGGACACCCUUCUCCUUCUCUUGGCCCCAGUCUCGAGUACCCCUGGGGCCCAUAGGCUAAGCUCCGAGUCCUCGCCUUGCCUGGCAGGGCUUCUGAAGGAAGGCCCCCUCGAAAGACGUGUCCCCGUUCCCGACGGCUGUCUGUCUUGAGGCGGGAGCAGUGGAGGUAAGUGGGUGGGAAAUACCGGAGCGAAGGGGAGGAGUGAGCCACGUCGCAGUCCGGUGUGGGGCAGCACCCGUGGCCGCCGCCCUCUCUCCAACAGCAACGGGCCCCUCCUUCCCCCCCGUCGCUUCUUCCCGCCCGUCCGAGCGGGGGUGGGCUGGAGAAGCCUCUCUCGGCGUCCCUGCGAAUAAUGGUGCUCGGCAGGCGGCUGAGGAGGCAGCGCCCUGCUUGGUUGGACAAAAAUUGCACCGAAAUACCAGUGCUUCCCAAAAUCAAGACUCAGAUGAAACUCUUCUUCAGAAGUUAAGUGGAGGAAAACACCUAAGGAAACUCCGACCUUUUUUUUUUUUUUUUUUUUUCUUUUUUUUUUUUUUUUAAAGUUUCCAAAGAAAUGCGGGCUUCCCUUCUUCUCCCGGAAAAAGUAGCCACUGCUCUUCUUUACACAAGACAUUUCUAAUUUGUUCCGUCUGUCAGAACGGGACUAUGAAAAGUUUUGGUGCAAAUUCAUUAUCUCUGGCAAUGCAUAACGUAUAGUAGGAACUGAAAAAGACCGUGGCAAUGGAUGAACAAUAGGGGCUUCAGUUCAUCAGCAACAAAAGCGUUGGGGAAAUUUGUUGAAAUUUCAGAGCACGUCCUUCUUAACAGAGAGGGCUGGACUAGACCUUGGCCAACCCCUCCAAAAAACUUGCAGAGCCUCACAUACAACAGUUCACUUUCUACUCCGGGGCGUAGGAAACAGUGUGGAAAAAGAAAAAAAUAAUGGCAAAGCCAAGCAACUUUCUUGGUUUCUCUCCCAUUUUUCACGGAUGGAAGAUUUUAACUAUAUUUGAGCCGUUGGAGCAAGAACAACACCGUGGAGCUACGUGGCACUGUUAAAUAGGAAUGGCGAGGGGAAAGACGUGAAUUUCUGGAGACCUGAAAGAGCUUUUUCUGCUCCGAGGGGGCUUGGCCGUGGGAAUCUUUGUUGCCGCCAGAGGUUCAAUUCACCCCCUACAUGUGGGGCAAAAUCUUUCCCGAUUAAGGCAAAGAAAUAGCAUGGCUAGAGUCCUAUCUUCCCGAUGAGAAUGGCUGAGAUGUCUGUUUGAAAUUAUUCCUGGAAUUAGACCAGCAUGAGGUGUCCUCUACCAAACUGAGGAAGCAGUGUUUCCAUUCCUCUGAGAUCACGGAGCAAAGUGAGAUCACUACAUAGCACUCCAGUGUCUGGAAACAAUUUGGGUCAGAAAAUUAUAAGUAGAUGAACAACGACCUCCACUUCAUAAAUGUUUUAAUACCCUUAGUGAUGGUGUGAGUGAUGCUCAGAGAUUACAUCAUACUACCCAUUAUACUAACCAUGUUUUUUUGCAGCUUAUUGUACACUGACUCUUCUUGUAAGCAUGAAAACUUUCUGUGAGUAGAGAACAAAUGAAGCUAUGUGGGAUGCUUUAGCUUAGAUUAGGCUAGAUUCAAACCACCCUGCUCAGACAAUUUGGCUCAUGAAAUUUACAUUAUACUGCAGUCUGCUAAAGACUCCACUUGUCAGCAAUGAGUAAAACAAGUAUUUCAAAAUACACACCUUUUGGCCUUCCAUUGCCACCCACGAACAAGAACAAAGAAGCUGAUCUAGACAUAGAAAUAAUAAAAUUCAGGUAUGAAUACAAUGCAGGAAAUAUCAUAAGAUGAAGCUUAGGAGAAGACUUGGGAAAAAAAAAAGUUCUGGUUUUCUUCCCCAAAAUUAGUCUUUACAAAAUAAAAUUACAUACUCACAUUGUAUUGGAUAUAUUUUCUAUACAAGAACUGUCACAACACCACUAGAAAAAGAGUGAGGUUCUGCAAUAUUUUUAAUGGAAUUCUGAUUUUGUUGCUUAAUUAUGGGCUUUCUCAUGUCAACAGUAUUAAUUGCACAUUGCAGUGUCUGCUUCCUCCCAGGACGAGACCCUCAGCUACAUGACAUUUAAGUUGGAAAUAUCAUUUUUGGCUGAGAGGAGAGUAACUUGAUAAUGUGACAGAACAGGUAUGUUUGGCAAAAGCUUUUCAUAAUACACAGCAAAUAUUGAGACAUCUUGUGCAAAAUUGUUGCCUGUAUUGAGUAAAUACAAAUAAAUGAGGACUUUACUGAAGAGUGACCUGGCAGGUAUACCUGCUAUUGCAAGAUAUACCUUUCACAGUCCCAAAUUUCAUUUCUCUGAGGAUGAUCUAUAACAGUCCCCUCCUAGGACACGUCUACUCCAACAGCAGCAAUAGCUGCUAAGCAAAAGAAGAUAAAAUUGGAAAUCAUCACGCAGGGAGGGCAUUUUUCUUUUUUAAGAGAACCAACAUCAUGGAAACACAGUAAAGCAUGUUAUGAGAAUAACCUAUGAGCUAAAUUAGGCACACACAAAAAUAUAGUUUCAACUAUAGUAAUUAAAAAAAGGAAUAUCAAGCUUUCCAUAUGAACAUGCUACAUACACAUUUUAAUUAGCUCAUCUCCAAUUACAAGACUCUAAUAAUUGGUUGAAAAGCAACCUAUUACCAUUUAUAGUAUGAGCACUUGCAAAUCAGGCGCUGAUAGCCCGUCUCAGUCUUAGCUAAGUUGUGCUACCAUUCUUCCAACAGCUGCAUUGCAAGUGCAAACAGAAAAUGAAACUCUGAUUAUUUUGAGUCUCACCAAAUGGUUCCCUUGGAGACAACAUCUUCCUGGUGGGCUAAAGAAGCUGCAUACCACAAGCCUUUCCAAUGGAGCCAUGCUUGAGAUGACUAGAGUACUAAAAAAAACCACUGUGGGUUGUGACACAGAUUUGGAAUGGGUCCUAAAUCAGCCUAAACGUUACAGCAGACUGGGUCCACCCACCCCUUAAGGUCAGGCUCCAGAUCCUCAUUAAGGUCUGUAUCUCAGGCAGGUACCACGUGUCCUGGUUGUUGUGGUCAUCUGAAUUUUGGAUUUAAAUAUACCAAAAAAAAAAAAAGAGACCGAAGUCUUGGGGUACGCUGCUGGUAGAUUCUGGAGGAAAGGCCACAUACAGCAUAAGGUUCGGACAUAAAUCAACAUACCUACCAUGGCAGUAUUUUGAUUCCGCAGUGAAUGAAGAGUUAAAUAUCUAUGGAGUUCAUUUAAAGCAUCCAAACUAAUUGUCUAAAGCCAACAGUGUAAAUAAUCUUCAGAAGAAAUGAAGGGAAGUGACUUAAGAUUCUUUAUAUUUUCAUUAGGAAACACCGAGCUAGCCAUAUUGCCAGUGAUUUAUAAACAUGACACAGAUGGUUUUACAUUCUACCAAAAUACUGAGAAGGAUGAUCUAGCAAAGGAAAAAGCAAUCUUAAAGGUCUAGAAUCAUGAGUUUGCCCCUUUCAUAUCUGGCCUUCAGGAAUGUAAUGCACUUUUUUUUUGUUAUUUUUAUUUGAAAGUAUGUCAGAGAUCUUAGCUUACAAAAUUAAAGAUGAAUACAAGUAAUCUAACAGAGCUUACCUAUCAUUCAGGUAGCAUGUUUAGAUGCUACAGGGAAGGGGGGAGAUGUUUUAACAGUGGUUACAUUUCAAGGAGAAUGAUUUCUCCUGGGGAGACACAGAGGUUCAGCAUUUCUCAUUUCCCAUUCUAACAUCCUAUCUUUCAUUUCUUCUUGUCACACGUGGCAUUACUAUGUCUGAAUUCAUUUGAAAACUUUGGUUCUUAUUUUGUGAGGUAUAUGGGUUAUAAAAUCUGUAUUCAGCUGAAAGAAUCUCUAAGGCCAUCCAACACCAUAUAUCUUUCUUGUAUUUUUCCUUUUUUGUAUUUAGCAAUGAGUGGAAACUUUUACCUCCAAGGUAAGUUAAUCGUGUUUUGUAAUUAACACUCAGAACCUGCACUUUUUUGAAAGAAGAAGAAUAAAGGCCUAAAGGCUGCAGUCAGUUAACUGUCUCUUGGCACACAUUGCUCUCAAUUUAUUUCCUUUUAACUGAGACCUUACUUAUAAUAAAAGUGUUGUUGCUGACGACAGUGUUGCUAUAUGAACACAGAUCAUUUUGCUUGGUUUUGAUAUAUACUAGUAAAUUAUGGGAGAUCAUAUAGCUCACAGAGCUGACACAAGAUACCUCAUAGUCAUUGUUUCAGGUUCAAUAUACCAUAUUAAACUAUUCCUUUUAAAAGACAGUCCCAACAAAUGUAUCCUUGAAUGUUAAGAGAUAAAAAGAUUUAGAAUAGAGGAUAACUACCUUAUUUGCAGAUGAAGUGCACACUUGCAUGUUUUCAAAUAAGGGGCCAAUUGCAGUGAAGUAGGAAUUUGAAAACACAGAACUGAAAACUCAAAACUAUGGGCAGUGUGAAAUUGUAUUUUAAUAGAGAACAUGAAGUUAUAAGUGGGAAAAAAAGUUAAGAAAAAUUGAAGCUAUUAAUACCAUUUAACAUAAUAAGAUGGAAAAAUUUGAAUUUAUGGAAUUCCAUGUUGUUAUGUAAUGGCUACUUGAAGUUUUAACUAAAGUUUGAUGAUUUUAAAAUAUUUUCUUGCGUGUUCUACUCUAAUUUUUACCUAAGAAGUAGAGCUGAUUCCUCACCAGUUCCAGAAAAAAAAUAUUAUCCAUGUCAUUCCUAUCACUAGUUACUGCUUUUACUGUAAGCAUUACUGCUAAUGCUUACAUCUUAAUAAAAUCAGAAGUUUCAGCAGGAGUUUAAAAAUCCAUUUAUAACUCUUCUUCUUUUAACACCAGCUGGGAACUAAACUCCAAAUACGCAACUCUCUUUCCCUGCUCCUUCCUGUAAGGGAGCGACAAGAAGGAAGAGGCUAUGGGUUUGAAAUAACUAUUUACUAAAAGCAGAAAGCAAUAGGAUAAGACAUGCAUGGUAACAACAUCAGUAUUAAUAGCAAAAUUAUAAAAAAGAGAGGAUGUUUUACGCAAAAAAUAUAUUCACCACUGGAAACAAAAAACCUCAAGUUGGUGAACACUUCCCAUAGAUUUCACCCCCAUGGCCUCCAGACAAAGGCAACAUGGUGAGGGGAGUUCCCACGGCUAACAUUUCCCUGCCCAGCCCAAAACCAAUGGAAAGCAGGAACAAAUAAAGCUAGGUGGUCUGAAUAGGGGUUGUGCAGCCUUUCCAGUGGGUGGCAGAAGGACCAGUUUGGCAGGGUUAAAGGUGACAGUCCUUCCACUGGAACAAGCCAGGCAAGAUAGUGGCCUUGUGGUUCCAAUGCACCAGCUUUUCCUGCUGAAACCAUGUGUCCAGUGCUGCCCGGAAUAAAAAACCUGGUCACACCCAUACCGUGCUAAACUCUGCAUCCUUCCUCUAUAACCAGGACAAUAACUUAACUUGUAAAAGUGAUAAAUAGAAAGCUUGACAGUGAAAAAUAUGUAGGUGCCUUUACAACUUGCCAUGGGCUGCACAAAGUAAAUGCUUCAGCAGCAGAUCAAGAGUUCUGCUAAAAAUAAAAAUUAGUAAUUCCCUGUCUCCAAAGGUAACGCAUCCAAUAAUAAGUAGACCUACUUUAGAUCUCAGUGUUAUGAACAGAAGAAAGAUAUAAUCAUUACAAGCUGGUUGCUGCCAAAGAAUCUGUGAUUUUGACUUGAUUGCAUUUAGUGUGAAUAAAAGGAAGAAAAGUUCAAGUCAAAAUACAACAUAUACAUCAUGUUUUCAAAUUCAAAGUCUGAGGGGUAGACAAAAAUGUAAGGAUAUGUUGGAGAAGAAUGUUUAGAAUUAAAGAUGUAAAUGAAAGUUAAGUGGUCUAUAUUUACAUAGAAUCUAUAAGACAGCAAAAAAUUCUGAUUACACAAGAAGAGCAGGCAACACUAUUUUUUGGACACUAAGCAGAAAAGUGAAUACAUCAUACAAAAAAAUUAAACACGUUAAGGUGGGUCAACAAAGAAAAUUGAUUGCAAUAAAUAUGAAAGAGAAUUUUUGUGUACGUCACUGAAAAGUUUAAGACAUCAAAAAGAUUUAUGGUUUCUUGACAGAAAUAAAGAAACAGAUAAAAGGAUUUUAAAAAGACUGACAUAGAUCUAUAAUUUUUUUACACUGGGAAUGAAAUAUAGCAUACAAACACUGGAAUUCUAUUAGCAAAGUCUUGUGAUAAGCCUAUUAGUAGACAGGUAUCCCAGAAACAGCCAAAAUAAUUUCUGUUCUCCAUUUGGAAACAGUAAGAACAUUUUUAUUAUAUAAGAAUAUCCUUUAAUGAGGUUAAUGAGUACUUUCCAGUCAAUUAAUAGACAUUAAACAACAUCUGUCAGUAGGCCUGAAUAGCUUUAACCCAAGAGUCAUAAAAGACUUAGCAGUUGAGAGCACUCACUGAUGUUACCUUUUAAUAAACUUUGAUAUAUCAGUGAAAUGCCAGAAGACUGUUGAGAAUAUUGCUGGGCCAAUGUUCAGAAAGGGCAAGGGGUUCUACCCAAGUAACUUGAGCCAGUGAUAAAAAUAGUUACUUUGGGAACCAGUCAAUAGGGAAUUAAAGAAAAGCUCACAGGUGAUUAGGGAAAUUAAUUUUUUCAAGCAGAUCUAACUUCUGAAAAAAAAUACUGCUAUUAAACCGUUCUCGCCUCCACUAACAACCCCAAAUGAAUAAAUGGUAAAUGGCUAGUGGGUGGUUGUUAAAAAAAAGGAAUAUGAAAAUAGGGAUUUUCUUCUAGAACCUGAAUGGAAAAAGAAGUGUGCUUGUCAAAAUUUUCAUCCACUAAAUUCAGCUCAAAAAUUGCUAGUGGCAUAAUAAACACUGACGAGGAAUCAAAUAAAGCAUUCUGCUUCACUAAAUAAGAGGGGUCUGUUCUGAUGUUUUAAUACAGAUGAAAGUUGCAUUGUCUGCAAAAUAUGGGACUAGACCCUAGCCAGUAGUAAUUGAGCAAAAGAUCUCAGUGUCAUACUGAGAUCCAGCAUUUCUGUGACAAGGAAAGGGUGGUGCUAUCCAUGCAGCUAUAGCAUCAUAUAGGGUUAAACCAUGUAAACAUAGUUUAGUUGGGGGGUACUUUUAAAGAAGUUGCAAAGUCAGAACUGGAAUAGAAAAGAGCUCUCAAAAAUAUUUUUAUACAAAAGAUAAUGCUUUAAAGUGAAAUGCUUAAAGACUCCAUCUGUUCAGUUUAUCAAAUGACAAAUUGAAUGGGAACUUGACUAGAAUGUGUAACUAUCUCCUUGCAAAAAAGAGGCUGGGUGCUGAAGGGCUCUAUAUUCCAUCAGAGAAAGGCAUAGGAUGGACCAGUGGCUGCAAACUGAAGUCAAACAGAUUAAAAUGAGAAAUUAGAUACCAUUUGUUGCCAGAGAGGCUGAUCAAUCAGACAAAUUAUCAAGGUAGGCUUUAGGAUCUCCAUCUCUGAGAUGAAGACUAGGCAACUUUUGGAAGAUGUGCUUCAGCUAAACACAACUAAGAGUUUAGUCAAAGAGAGGGGCCUUGAGCUCAUUGCAGAAGAGAACAGAUGAAAUGUAGUGACUCGUGAUGCAAAAGGUCACAGUGGUCCCAGACUUAAGCUUUGGGAAUUUAUCAGUCAAUAAUAGUAAACAUACUUGUAAUCUCAGUUGCAGUUGCAACUGAGAUAGUAAUACGGUUUUUGAAUUUUAUGUUAUAUCUGAAAUUUGAGGGAGAGACACAGCCCAGGAAAGUGGAUUAUCCUAUGGGAAAGAGACACAAAAUUUUGGGCCACGAAAAUUAUCUAUAUAUUUUUCCAAGGUCCUCCAUGACUUCUGCUUUAGGACUGGGGUGAGUUUAGGAGGCAGUUGAUCCAAAGUAUUUUUGUCACAUAUGAUUCCCGGACAUCUUAUGGUGUGUUGCUACUCCCAUAGACCCUGGAAGAGGACCUCACUAGCACCUGAGCCCCUUGUGUUUCUCUUCUUGCAAAUACGCCAUUUCCAUGGAAUCUUAGGACCUGCACCUGCACUUGCAGGUGGGGCCUUUGUGCAUCCUCCAGGUGGGCAGACAGGAGUCCAUCACUUCCUGUCCUUAGUCAACAACCCAACUGACUAUGGCAUUUCAUCUGGAAAAAAAAAUGCUGCUUAUAAAAUGUCUGUGGCCAGUAUUGAGACAAAAAAUUUCUCAAAAUUACACUAGAUGUAAUCUUGUGUACACCUUUUUCUCUUUGACCUGCCUUUUGUCUAAUUAGCAUCCACUAUCUAAUAUUUCUUAAACAUAUCUUAAACAUUUCUAAGUAAACUUCAAUUCCAUGUAUCCUGAAAACAACUGUGAGGAGAUAAGUAUUUUAUAAUUACAACUAUUAUGAAUUUGAAUGCACCUCUCCUGUAGCUUCAAGACUGGGCCACAGAAAAUAUCUUCAAUGAGACUUUUGUAGGGAGAAGUUACCCCAAAGCUGUGGAGUGGACAUCGAAUCACAGUGGGGUAAAUCCCAGUUUUACUCCUCUGCUUCCUUGGAGCAAUCUUCUCUGUGUUGCAGGAGAAGGUCCACACUCUUGUUAUCCCUACUGCAGUUUUCCUCCCUUCCUAACAGGGAUACAGAAACCCCAAGACAUCCCCCAACAUGCUUAGAACUACAGUUCUAGCAUUCAAUUCUUUGCUCAUUUUAGAAGAACUGAGUUGUAUAUUUUCCUGAUCAUUCUGUAACUAUUCUAAAAAUAGAAACUCGUUGCACACAGCUGCAACACAGCACUGUAGAUUUUGUCAUUUCCAAAUGCAUAUUCUUAGCUGUUGUAUCUGCUAUUUAAAGGACUCUUACUAUUUGCCCCUGAAAGCAUUUUUUUUUUAGCUGAGGUGUGGAAGAAAGUAUCUUAUUAAAAAGAAAAUGUAAUUUUUCUCAUGGUUUGAAUUUUAAAAAUUUUCAUGUUAGAGAAAACAUUGUUAUUUUAAUUGAAUUUUUCUAUGCCACGCUUAAGGAAAAAGCUCUUGACUGUUCCAUAUUCCAUGAAUUUUCUUUUUUUAUAGAGCAAUUUUUGUGUGUUGAACAUUUUCACAUUUUGCUCUCUUUUCACAUGACUUUGUAUUCCUCAACCUCUCCUCCCCACUAUAACUGCAAAAUCAGCUACACAAAAAAUAAACUAAAUUGUGAAAAGCUUCUGAGAAGAAA